rnacentral:misc_RNA from 1 species
ACAUAUAUAUAUAUCAAAGAUUAAGAGGGGGGCCGUUUAAGAAAAAAAGAGACAUAUGAUUAGUAUAUUCGUAAGUUAUUUAGAAUGUGGCAUAAUAAUUAAUGAUGUGGUUGAGAACCAUGAAUUAUCAUGUUCAAAUUUUAAUGUGAUCUCCUCAUAAGGAAUUUAUUGAUUUAUGUGUGUGAAGAAUAGCAAGUUGAUAAAGAAAUAAAGCUUGAGUCUAAUCCGAUCUCAAAAGCUAGUUCAUUAAGUGAGGAUUACCCGUCCAUAUUCCCAUCCAUUUGCCUAUGUGUGACACCCACCCACCCCACACGCACAUCUAACACUGAAGAGCAUAGAUAAUAUAUACUUUCUCUAUUUUAAAAAAAAUGACCUUUUUUCCUUUUUAGUCUGUUUAAAAAGAAUGACCUCUUUCUUUUUUUGAUAACAUUUUAAUUUCUGCUUUCCAUGUGACAUGCAUGUUUA